GGCGAAACCGCGAAUGGCUCAUUAAAUCAGUUAUGGUUCACUAGAUCGUACAGUUUACAUGGAUAACUGUGGUAAUUCUAGAGCUAAUACAUGCACCCAGUCCGUUCCCUCGUGGAGCGGAUGCAGUUAUUUGCCCAAAACCAAUCCGGCCUUCGGGUCGGUCAAUUGGUGACUCUGAAUAACCGAAGCGGAGCGCAUGGUCUCGUACCGGCGCCAGAUCUUUCAAGUGUCUGACUUAUCAGCUUGUUGUUAGGUUAUGUUCCUAACAAGGCAUCAACGGGUAACGGAGUGUCAGGGCCCGACACCGGAGAGGGAGCCUGAGAAACGGCUACCACAUCCAAGGAAGGCAGCAGGCGCGCAAAUUACCCACUCCCGGCACGGGGAGGUAGUGACGAAAAAUAACGAUGCGAGAGCUUUAUGCUCCUCGUAAUCGGAAUGGGUACACUUUAAAUCCUUUAACGAGGAUCUAUUGGAGGGCAAGUCUGGUGCCAGCAGCCGCGGUAAUUCCAGCUCCAAUAGCGUAUAUUAAAGUUGCUGCGGUUAAAAAGCUCGUAGUUGGAUCUGGGUAGUCGAUGGACGGUGCGCUUUACGGCGUCUACUGUUCGUUCGGCACCACAUGCCGGCCAUGUCUUGCAUGCUCUUCACUGAGUGUGCUUGGCGACCGGAACGUUUACUUUGAAAAAAUUAGAGUGCUCAAAGCAGGCGUUAAGCCUUGCAUAAUGGUGCAUGGAAUAAUAGAAUAGGACCUCGGUUCUAUUUUGUUGGUUUUCGGAGCUCGAGGUAAUGAUUAAUAGGAACAGACGGGGGCAUUCGUAUUGCGGCGUUAGAGGUGAAAUUCUUGGAUCGUCGCAA
rnacentral:rRNA from 1 species